rnacentral:rRNA from 1 species
AGUGAACGCUGGCGGUAGGCCUAACACAUGCAAGUCGAACGGCAGCACAGUAAGAGCUUGCUCUUACGGGUGGCGAGUGGCGGACGGGUGAGGAAUACAUCGGAAUCUACUUUUUCGUGGGGGAUAACGUAGGGAAACUUACGCUAAUACCGCAUACGACCUACGGGUGAAAGCAGGGGAUCUUCGGACCUUGCGCGAUUGAAUGAGCCGAUGUUGGAUUAGCUAGUUGGCGGGGUAAAGGCCCACCAAGGCGACGAUCCGUAGCUGGUCUGAGAGGAUGAUCAGCCACACUGGAACUGAGACACGGUCCAGACUCCUACGGGAGGCAGCAGUGGGGAGUAUUGGACAAUGGGCGCAAGCCUGAUCCAGCCAUACCGCGUGGGUGAAGAAGGCCUUCGGGUUGUAAAGCCCUUUUGUUGGGAAAGAAAAGCAGCAGGUUAAUACCCCGCUGUUCUGACGGUACCCAAAGAAUAAGCACCGGCUAACUUCGUG